rnacentral:rRNA from 1 species
GGCCCAAACUCCUACGGGAGGCAGCAGUGGGGAAUAUUGCACAAUGGGGGAAACCCUGAUGCAGCGACGCCGCGUGAGUGAAGAAGUAUUUCGGUAUGUAAAGCUCUAUCAGCAAGGAAGAUAAUGACGGUACUUGACUAAGAAGCCCCGGCUAACUACGUGCCAGCAGCCGCGGUAAUAC